GAUGAACGCUGGCGGCGUGCCUAAUACAUGCAAGUCGAGCGAACGGACGAGAAGCUUGCUUCUCUGAUGUUAGCGGCGGACGGGUGAGUAACACGUGGAUAACCUACCUAUAAGACUGGGAUAACUUCGGGAAACCGUAGCUAAUACCGGAUAAUAUUUUGAACCGCAUGGUUCAAAAGUGAAAGACGGUCUUGCUGUCACUUUUAGAUGGAUCCGCGCUGCAUUAGCUAGUUGGUAAGGUAACGGCUUACCAAGGCAACGAUGCAUAGCCGACCUGAGAGGGUGAUCGGCCACACUGGAACUGAGACACGGUCCAGGCUCCUACGGGAGGCAGCAGUAGGGAAUCUUCCGCAAUGGGCGAAAGCCUGACGGAGCAACGCCGCGUGAGUGAUGAAGGUCUUCGGAUCGUAAAACUCUGUUAUUAGGGAAGAACAUAUGUGUAAGUAACUGUGCACAUCUUGACGGUACCUAAUCAGAAAGCCACGGCUAACUACGUG
rnacentral:rRNA from 1 species